rnacentral:rRNA from 1 species
AGAGUUUGAUCCUGGCUCAGAACGAACGCUGGCGGCAGGCUUAACACAUGCAAGUCGAACGCCCCGCAAGGGGAGUGGCAGACGGGUGAGUAACGCGUGGGAAUCUACCGUACCCUACGGAAUAACGCAUGGAAACGUGUGCUAAUACCGUAUACGCCCUACGGGGGAAAGAUUUAUCGGGGUAUGAUGAGCCCGCGUUGGAUUAGCUAGUUGGUGGGGUAAAGGCCUACCAAGGCGACGAUCCAUAGCUGGUCUGAGAGGAUGAUCAGCCACAUUGGGACUGGGACACGGCCCAAACUCCUACGGGAGGCAGCAGUGGGGAAUAUUGGACAAUGGGCGCAAGCCUGAUCCAGCCAUGCCGCGUGAGUGAUGAAGGUCUUAGGAUUGUAAAGCUCUUUCACCGAUGAAGAUAAUGACGGUAGUCGGAGAAGAAGCCCCGGCUAACUUCGUGCCAGCAGCCGCGGUAAUACGAAGGGGGCUAGCGUCGUUCGGAAUUACUGGGCGUAAAGCGCACGUAGGCGGAUAUUUAAGUCAGGGGUGAAAUCCCGCAGCUCAACUGCGGAACUGCCUUUGAUACUGGGUAUCUCGAGUAUGGAAGAGGUGAGUGGAAUUCCGAGUGUAGAGGUGAAAUUCGUAGAUAUUCGGAGGAACACCAGUGGCGAAGGCGGCUCACUGGUCCAUUACUGACGCUGAGGUGCG